rnacentral:rRNA from 1 species
GACCUCGGAUCAGGUAGGGAUACCCGCUGAACUUAAGCAUAUCAAUAAGCGGAGGAAAAGAAACCAACAGGGAUUGCCUUAGUAACGGCGAGUGAAGCGGCAACAGCUCAAAUUUGAAAUCUGGCCUUCUGGUCUGAGUUGUAAUUUGUAGAGGAUGCUUCGAGCAUGGUCCGGUCUAAGUUCCUUGGAACAGGACGUCAUAGAGGGUGAGAAUCCCGUAUGUGACUGGGUGCCUAGUCUCAUGUGAAGCUCCUUCGACGAGUCGAGUUGUUUGGGAAUGCAGCUCAAAAUUGGUGGUAAAUUUCAUCUAAAGCUAAAUACUGGCCAGAGACCGAUAGCGCACAAGUAGAGUGAUCGAAAGAUGAAAAGCACUUUGGAAAGAGAGUUAAACAGUACGUGAAAUUGUUGAAAGGGAAGCGCUUGCAACCAG